CCUACGGGGAGCUGCAGUGGGGAAUAGUGGACAAUGGGCGAAAGCCUGAUCCAGCCAUGCCGCGUGUGUGAAGAAGGCCUUCGGGUUGUAAAGCACUUUCAGUGGGGAAGAAAGCCUUGGGGCUAAUACCCUCGAGGAAGGACAUCACCCACAGAAGAAGCACCGGCUAACUCCGUGCCAGCAGCCGCGGUAAUACGGAGGGUGCGAGCGUUAAUCGGAAUUACUGGGCGUAAAGCGCGCGUAGGCGGUCUGAUAAGCCGGUUGUGAAAGCCCCGGGCUCAACCUGGGAACGGCAUCCGGAACUGUCAGGCUAGGGUGCAGGAGAGGAAGGUAGAAUUCCCGGUGUAGCGGUGAAAUGCGUAGAGAUCGGGAGGAAUACCAGUGGCGAAGGCGGCCUUCUGGACUGACACUGACGCUGAGGUGCGAAAGCGUGGGUAGCAAACAGGAUUAGAUACCCCAGUAGUC
rnacentral:rRNA from 1 species